GAAAUAGAUUAGGUUUGAUUGUUUCAAGGAUGUUGUAAAGCAAUAUAUAAUAUCAUUACUUUUACACAUGGUAAGUUAUCCUUAUGUUACAGAGAACAAGUUAUAUCGCAUCAGAAAAGGCAAAUGGGUUCAGGUUCCCACAACAUCGGGAGAAGUGAUGGAGAUUCUGCAAUUUUAUCACAUUACAAGUGGCAGCCAUGUUGGUAUCAUUAAUACCAAGUGCAGGAUUUCUACCCAAUACUACUGGCUUGGUAUGUCAAAGGAUGUCACUGCAUAUAUAUCAACUUGUCCAACAUGCCAGACUUUUGAGGUUGUGAAGACACAAGCUCCCACACUUAA